AGGUGAGGGCAGAGCCGGCUCCCAGGGUUCCUCUGCGCACCCGGACCUACAUCAUCCACAUCGAGAAGCAGCCCCGCACCGUGCAGCUGCGGCAGCAAGUGUUUUUGCCAGAGGAUUUCCGGAUCUACACCGUUGGCCGAGGGGGACUCGCGAAGUCUGAACUGGCUCAUGUCAAGCGCGACUGCUUCUACGAAGGCAGCAUCGAGGGUUUCUCCAUUUCGCUCGUGGCACUUAGCGCCUGUGCCGGCCUGAG
rnacentral:lncRNA from 1 species